AAAAGUGAACCCAUCUAACUUUAAGGCUUUGGCCCAAGGGUCUUAAAAGAAAGGCUUGAGUGAACCCAAAAUUUAUAACCCAACCAUUAAAUUAUCAUGAGUGAAAUCUGAAUGCAAAAUUCCUAUUGGUCCAAAUUUAUAUGCAUGCUUUUCCAUUGGUUGAUAAGCACACAUCCACUCUCACUAUCCUAUCCAUUUUGUCUCCCUCUCUUGGUACGCUCAGCACAAUGGAAAAGGCUUGCACUUGGACUCUUGCAACAAAUGAGUUAAAAUAAGAAAUCUGUGAGAACCCUUUGUAUUGGCUUAGAACAAAAUCCUCAUCAUCAGUAAACUCUUGAACAUUGAAUGAUGGAAGAAACCCCAACCCAGAAUAAGGGACGCUCCUCCUUCAACGCAGAACCAAAACCAACCUCCAUCCUUCAACCUCUUUUCCUCUGAAAGCCGUGGAAUUAAAAGAAGCACCACAACACAAAUCUGCAUUUCCUUCUGCCCUCUCAUAUUACUUACAAAAAAAUCUAAGGCAGCAUCAUCACCUCUCCAUGCAAUAGUUGUGGAACCCUAAGCUUUAUGCUUGCUACCCUCAUGCCAUGACCAAGCUCAACCUCUUUUCCCCUCAAAACCGUGAGGCACUUGGAGGAGAACACAUAGUAUGAUUCUGCAAUUUCCUCCGUUCAUCUCCUCCCUCUAACCAUGUGUGCAUAGAAGGGUAACCAAAGUUCCUAAGCACACUCAUCUCCUUCUUCCCUUGUUCGGCCGAGGAGCAGCUUUGAGGAGGUGAGACAGAAUUCUCGUGGCCUUCUUGUUCCUCUUUGUUUAGACUGAUUUCUGAUUUAAGCUUCCCUUUUCUUGAACGUGGCUCUGCCUUGUUUGAGGCUCUCCAUCCACUGCAUGCUGCGGGAUGCGACUUCUUGGGGGCAUGGGAGAGUGUGGUUCUGGUUAAGCUUGGAUGUCUGAACGGAAGAGGACGUAAAAGCUUUUGAGGACUUGGAUAUUUGCUGUUGGCUUCUACUGUUUGGGCAUGCUGCUAUUGAUGUGAUAUUUUAUGGAUGACUGUAUGAAAUUGAGAAGCUUUUAUUACUGAGAACUAUGAUUUUAUUAUUGCAUUACGAUUUUAUGACCAGCAAGUAUUUUGGAAACAGAUGUUGAAA